UCGCUCCAAAUGAAAACUUAUCU
rnacentral:snRNA from 1 species